UAGCUGGGCACUGCUCAUAAGAACCAAGUCGCCUGGUAGCUGACAGGCACUUGGGGGAGAAAUUCUAAGAUUGAAGCCCUGUGACAAAGUAACUUCUUACUAGAAGUGCGAGUGGAUUUGCAGAGCGUAACAUAA
rnacentral:ncRNA from 1 species